UACAGAGGUGGCAAGCGUUGUUCGGAAUCACUGGGCGUAAAGGGCGCGUAGGCGGCAUGCCAAGCGUGUGGUGAAAGCCCGGGGCUCAACCCCGGGUCGGCCGUGCGGACUGGCGUGCUCGAGCACUGUAGGGGCGGGUGGAAUUCCGGGUGUAGCGGUGGAAUGCGUAGAGAUCCGGAAGAACACCGGUGGCGAAGGCGGCCCGCUGGGCAGGAAGGCUCGCAAGAGCCGGCUGACGCUGAGGCGCGACAGCGUGGGGAGCAAACAGG
rnacentral:rRNA from 1 species